ACGAGGCACCUAGCUUGUGAAGAUCUCGACGUGUAAGGCGCCCGCCCGGUUGGAUGGCGGACUUCGAAUUGGAGUAGGGUUGAACGUGAUCUUUAAGAUCAGGGUGGCGUGUGGUAUGACGUCAGUGACUGGGGAGCUGACCGGAAGGGCGAGUUGACCGGAAGAGGAAGAAUGGCAGAGGGAGCCUCAAUCGGGAUUCGUGCCUUUUUCGAACGGGGUCGUGGUCAGGAGAGGACGUGCUAAGCGAUGGUCUAGGUUUGGGAGAAGCAGCUGCUAUUCCUAGUGUUCUUCAGGUCGGGGAAAGCUUCGAGGAUCGGAUACCGCAAGACAAACCUGCAGUCGACGAAAGGAAAACCGAGAUUUAAGGACAUAUUUCUUGCAUUACCUGUGUUUAGAAUAGACUUCCAUCUGGAAAUCCUGAAAAUAAAAGAAAUGGUAUUAAAUAUGAAAAAGAAUGAUCGAGAUCCAUCUUCCGACAACACAUCAUACAGAGAAGAGAUUAUUGAAUAUAAAUAGUGCAUCUUCUAACGCUGGAGAUGUAUUAAGGUGUCAGCUGUUCAUGACCAGUGAACUAAGGUAACACCCCUUAUUUUUCAAACACCCUCUGGAGUAUUGAGCGGUUCCAAGCAAUGAUAUUUUCUGCAGGUGCUCCAUCCUUAUUGCUGCCCCUAUUUGUUCCACGCUCCUCAAGACUGUUCCUCACUGUUCCCAGGAUUUCAACAAUUAUUGGUACUACUACCAUCUUUUUCAGCGACCACUUAACUUCCCAGGCUAACCUGUUAUAUCUAACGACUUUUCUUUCUGCCUUAUCGCAUAACUUGUUGUCAGAUGGGCAUGCUAUAAUAUAUGAUCUACUUCACGGUAUUGAUCGGGGAUACCCCCACUGGAUCCAACCAGAUGGUGAGUCUAGAUGUGAUAAAUCUGUUCACCAAACUCCCACCUGAUGAAGCACUAUCAGCAAUCCAAGAAAAUCUGGUGACAGACACCUGUCUAAAAGAACGCACUAGUAUACCAAUAGAAAACUUGAUGAAAAUGUCGACCUUCUGUGUAGAAACUACCUACUUCAGUAUGGAUACUGAUAUAUAUCGACAAGAAGAGGGUUUAGCUAUGGGUUCGCCAUUAUCACCGAUAAUAGCCAAUAAAAUACUUGGAAUACUUUGAGAAUUUGGCUUUAGGAUCAACACCACUAAAACCAACACUAUGGCUAUGAUAUGUUGAUGACACCUUUACACUCUGGCCCUACAAGAGAGAUGGUCCAGGUACUUUUAGAUCAUGCAAACUCAAUAAAGCCAUCCAUACAGUUCAGAAUGGAAAAGGAAAAAGACAAUCAGCUGGCAUUCCUGGACGUAUUAAUAACACGCACCAAGUAUGGAUCCAGGACAUCCGUAUACUGCAAACAAACCUUCACUGGACGAUACCUCAACUUCAAUUCCCACUAACCAUACAGUGUAAAGAGAAGGAUUGCUCAACGCCUAAAACUUCGAGCAAAGAAUAUAAGUAGCGAUCGUGAUACACACCACGAAGAAAUGAUCAAGCUAAGUAACAAUCUGUUAAGCAACAACUACCACCAAAACAUACUAUCCACUCCAAUUAUAAAGAGAGAGGAUGAAACCCAUAAACUGACUAUAGUCGGUCUAUUCUAUGUGAAAGGCCUCUCUGAAAAAAUACAAAAGAUAUGCGGUCCAUAUGACAUCAGGACAGUAUUCAAGAGUAAUACAACACUUCGCAAAUAUCUCCUUCGAUUAAAAUCACCAAUAGAAGAGAAUAGGAACAAAGACUGCGUGUACUCCAUCCCAUGCAGCCGUGGUAGGUUAUACAAAAGUGAAACAUGCCACCCCCUCAAAAUAAGGGUAGACGAACAUCGCAAAGCUGUGACACAAAGAGAUAUUGAUAACUCGGGUAUAGCUGCUCAUGUAUGGAAAAAAGGAGACCACCUCCACGUGUGCGAUGAAGUUAAAAUAAUAGACAGAGAACACCACUGGAAAAUACGGAAACUAAAAGAAGCAGCACAUAUGCUAGAACAUAAUAACCUCCGAAGCAGACCGAGUGCAGAUAUGAGUAGCAUAUGGGAACCGGUAUUAAGGAAGGAUAGAAAAAUAUUAGAGUUAUAAGCCCUAAAAUUCACUCCAUAAUUGCCCACGGGCAUAUGGUAUAGUGGUUAAAAGUGGAGGCUACCAGCCCCAAGAUCCCGAGUACGAUUCCUGAAAAUAAUAAUAACAUCGGAAAAAUACCUUAGGAAUGAGAACGCAGGUUCGAAAUUUCCCCAGGACACCUGAUGAAGGCAGGAGGGUAUAUCAGCCUAAACGUACUAACAACAAACAAGAUGAGGACAAAUAUUCGUUGAAUGUAAAUAAUGUACAUAAUUCCUCAUCUCUCAAAUUUAGAACUUGUUUAUACAUAGUUCGUAAGGAUGUGAAGUGUACUUUUCAGUUACCUUUGAAGAUUGUUGGAAUUAAAUGUUAAGAGAUUAGGGGUCCAGGCAAGACUGGUAUGAUGCAGGAUGGAUCUUUGUGUUGGUCAAAUAUGGGGCUAGCCACUGUGUAUAAUUUGUUUCAGCUAAACUCUAGUGAAGGUAUUGUUGAUAAUAUUUAGUAGGAAGACAGAAGGUACAAGAGUUUUCCUCAUGUCUUUCAACAAGUUAGAAGCACAGUGUCUAUGAGACCAUUUUCCAUAAGUUGAUAAUAUUAAGAAAAUAAAUUACUCUUCUUGGUUCAAUUUAGAGACAUAUUUUUUGAAGAACAUGUGUUAUAAAAUACUCAGAAUUAAAUACAUAUAAAACCGUUUAUCCAAUAAAAAUAGUUAUAAGAUUUAACCAGUUGACCAGAAAACCAACAACCAGGUAAAUCAUUACAUAAAAUAUUUAUAAAAAUUCUGUGCCAACAAAAUACUCAUAUAGUCCUUCCAUUUAGAUUUCCUAACUACAGAUUUCAUCAGAUAUGCAACCAUUAUAGACUGAAUAAACAUCUAAUAAUCUUAUUUACAGAAUAGUCUAUUUACUGACCUUUAC